rnacentral:rRNA from 1 species
UACGGGGGGAGCAAGCGUUGUUCGGAUUUACUGGGCGUAAAGAGCUCGUAGGCGGUUCGGCAAGUCAGCUGUGAAAUCUCCACGCUCAACGUGGAGGGGUCAGCUGAUACUGCUGUGACUCGAGUCCGGUAGGGGAGUGUGGAAUUCCCGGUGUAGCGGUGAAAUGCGCAGAUAUCGGGAGGAACACCAGUAGCGAAGGCGGCACUCUGGGCCGGUACUGACGCUGAGGAGCGAAAGCGUGGGGAGCAAACAGG